GAAAGAUGUUCCAUUGUAAGUGUCAUUUUUUGGUAGUCAACUCCAUUUCAGGUUUUCAGUGAAUGUUGUUUUACUGAAUUAAUUUUAUCAUAUUCUUAGCCCAUCGUAGUGUGGGGCUCAUGUAACUUAGGUGCUUGAUUUGUUUGCACUUUGGCUCAUUCUUUUGCAGGAAAGUCUUUUCUGGAUAAUUCAUGGGUUCCGCUUUUUCACCAUUAUUUUUUCUGGUUGAAGAAUUAACAAACACGCUGUGCUUAUUGUAAUUACGAGGUAAGAACCCUUAUGUUAUGUCAGUGCUAAGAUGUGCUGGGAUGAAACUAGAUGAACGAAAUAUUG